ACCCAUUCCUCUUCUUUGUGGGAGACCUCUUUUUUCAAACAUUACUUGCAGGGUCUGCAUCAUUUCGAUCACGUCGGCGACAGUGAUACUAAUUAAGGAACUAGGUUUGGCUGUUAGCUGAAUACUACCUCAUCCCUCAUCCAUUGCCCUACAAUCACAUUUCUCACUACCACAUUGUUGUCAGGUUUUGCCAUGUCAGUACUGAAGGAAGGGGACCAAUAGGAUGGUACAGGGAAGAAACUGAAUUCAGUCUGGAAGCAAAAAUAGUUAGCCCAGCAUGAGUCUUUUUGGGUACUAAUGUAACUGGCCGAGCACAACCAUGGUAGAGCAGUAAAAUUAAAUAUUCGCUUCGGGUUAUCCCCUAUGGUUCUGCAAAGGUUUCAGGGAGAUGACCACAAUGCAUCAUAAAGGGCACUUCUCCACGACAUUUUAAAACCAUUAACGGAAAAGGGUGUGAGGGAGUCUUUGCAGCAAAGGUCUUCAAGCAAACCCGAUGAGGAUGGGAUAGAAGCACUCCUACUGCAUCAACAAGAAGGGCGACGGAUAUGAGGAUGAAAGAAAAGGUCGCAGAGGAAAUAAGAAGAACUGUGCUCGAUAAGGUACCAUCUAGAGGAGAAAACAAGCUAAACAACUGUAGGAACUUCAGGAACAGAAUAGUGGUAGCCCAUACAUAGUACCAAUUGGAUGCAAGAAUGUCUGAAAUCCUCAUCUUUGGAGCAAUACUUGAGCAAUAGACAUGAGAUGGGCAAAGAGGACUUGAGUAUAUAUAGGGUGCGUGGCGUAAAUGAAAAGACCUAAAGGCACUGGAUCAAGUAGAGAAAGAGAGGGCUUGAAAGUUAUGGAAGAAUGUGGAACGUCAUGUUGAGAGGAUGGAGAUGGGGGUGAAUUGGGUUAGCUGGAUGGCUAAGAAAUUGGUCUAAGAUGAGCUUUUAAUGUGAAGAAAGGAGAAGGGAGGUGGGACCACAAGAGUUCCUCUCACAGAAGGUGAGACCCCACAUCUUUAAAGAGGAGAAUUGAAGGGUUUUCAUUGUAGGGUAGAGUAAUAAUGAAUCAUAGCAAUUGGCAAGAUGGUACCACAUUUCUUGAUUUGGAAGAGAAUUCAAUGUAAGUGUCACCAAAGGAGCUGCAAACAAACCAAGUUGAGCAAUUAAAAGUACCUUGUGAGCAGUAAGGGCUCUGCCUCUAGUUCGUCAUAUGUUCAUGGCCGGCUUUUCUUUUCAGAUAGGUGUGCAUUUACAGCAGGGUCAUCCCAGCCAUAACCAUUGAAGCUAAUUCCUCAAACUACAGCUCGGAUUGCGUUGCCUUUGGGGUGGCCAGGCAUUAAAAGUCGGUUCAGCCUUUGAAAGGAAUCUAUGACUAUGCAAUGCACCGCUUCUGCUGACUUUGUGGGUCAGGGGGAUUCACUGGAAAAUCAAGCACCCACCAUGCUAGAGCCCAUCCUAGAGCUGUCCCACCAAUUGGAAAGGUCCUCAGAAACCAAUAUCUAAUUCGGGUUUGUCAAUGGCCAGUUAAUGUGGCACCAACAACCCUGAUUUUCGUAACUAUUCAAUGGCAGGAAACCUGUGCAACCACCGUUCUUUUAUGCUGUACUGGAUUUAGUGAACUGAAAUGGACACAAUCUUAAAGGGCAAGGUUCAAAGGGCUCAAGCUGCUGCAAAUGCUGCUAUCCUUUCCUGCUCAUGAAAUUAUCAACUUUCUUAUCACUGGGACAUCAAAUUAUUGUUUAUUUUCUUCUCAAUUUGUAAACUUGUUAUAUUUUUGGGAUCACUAGCAUGAAAGAAUUUUAAGGAGUACGGGCUUGAAAUGUUGUAUGCACUAAGCAGUUGAAAGGCUCAUAUAUAACUUCUUGUUUUCGACUUGAGCUGAAAAUUGAGGUACAAGUCUGAAGGAUAGUAUUAAUAUCAUAAUAAAAGCUUUAUUAAAUACAAAAACCUAUUGCCUAAACCAAAAUAGAGCUUCCACACAACAAACAAUAUUUUCUUCAUGGUGUCCACUCUCCCCUUCUUUAUGAUUUUAACAUGAGCUCAAUCUCAUCAAGCUUGACAACCAUCAGAUCAACCCUCCUUUUCAUAUUAUAAACCACCAUCUCUUAUUAUGAUAAAUCUAAUACAUGUUCUGCCAGAGGCCUUGCCACCAGAGUUUUGCCAUUAACACUACUUAAAGGAUUCUUGUAAAGAAGGCUCAAUACUUUCAUUAUGUUUAUGAAAGAUAUACAUACUCAAGACCACUUUUCUUGGGCAGCAAUUGCCUUGAUGAAUUUCAUACAAAUUUCUUUUAGAAGGGGCAAAAGAAAAUUCUCUCCAGAAAUCAACUCCAGAACAAAUUUACAUCACCACAGCCUUAUUCUCCUGGAACAGCUCGUAAUAUACGACCUGAUCCUUCAAGUUUCUUUUCCCAGUGCUGAAGGAGAGAGCCACCUUGGUCCUUGGAUGCACCUUUAUAUCUCCUACUGCCAUACCCUUUGCUGUUUGUAACUGAAUGGAUAAUGUUCCAUGCCACCAUCUGGUUCACUCCGUUUCAUUCCAAUCCCAGAAUUCAAGCACUGUGAAGUGGACCACAUAGACCCCUCCAUCAACUGACUCUGCCCUGGCCUCAAAGCCCCAGUUUCCCUGUUCCCACCUUCCACCAUCAAGCUAGAAUUCAGAUCAAAACCAGCCUUAGCAGGCUUAACUCCAUUCACAUGAAAUGGUUGGGAAUUCAUGCCCAUUAGGAAUGGCUGCGGAGAGCAUGAAGGAGGAAAGGUCACUGCAGAACCCAUUAUCUGCGGUACUAUAGGAGCUCCUCUUGAAUCUAUCAUGUAGGGGAUGGAGCCUGGUCCGGACACAGUGGAGAGAGUCAUAGAGGGUCCCAUUAUAAAUCCACUGUACCCAAAUGGCGAGGAUGCACAAGCCACUGGAUGCCGAAACUCCAUGACACCUUGAGGCCUUGCCAAGUUGGUGCCCCUUGAUGAAUUGCCAACCUGCCCAUUUAGCAGAAGAGACUGGGAUGGUGUGAAGUUCCUUCCAUUAACUGGUGCCCUAGAGCCAAUAAUCAGAACAUCGGAAUCCUCCUGCUUAAACCCUACA